rnacentral:rRNA from 1 species
AGCGAACGCUGGCGGCAGGCCUAACACAUGCAAGUCGAACGAACCUUUCGGGGUUAGUGGCGGACGGGUGAGUAACACGUGGGAACGUGCCUUUAGGUUCGGAAUAACUCAGGGAAACUUGUGCUAAUACCGGAUGUGUCCCUCGGGGGAAAGAUUAAUCGCCUUUAGAGCGGCCCGCGUCUGAUUAGCUAGUUGGUUGAGGUAAUGGCUCACCAAGGCGACGAACAGUAGCGGGUCUGAGAGGAUGAUCAGCCACAUUGGGACUGAGACACGGCCCAAACUCCUACGGGAGGCAGCAGUGGGGAAUCUUGCGCAAUGGGCGAAAGCCUGACGCAGCCAUGCCGCGUGAAUGAUGAAGGUCUUAGGAUUGUAAAACUCUUUCACCGGGGACGAUAAUGACGGUACCCGGAGAAGAAGCCCCGGCUAACUUCGUG